UUGGGCGGAAAGCGCGCGUAGGCGGCUUGGCAAGUUGGAUGUGAAAGCCCUGGGCUCCACCCAGGAUGUGCAUUCAAAACUGCCUGGCUUGAAUCGCGGAGGGGGUCAGGGAAUUCCCGGUGUAGAGGUGAAAUUCGUAGAUAUCGGGAGGAACACCAGGGGCGAAGGCGCUGACCUGGACGAUGAUUGACGCUGAGGCGCGAAAGCGUGGGGAGCAAACAG
rnacentral:rRNA from 1 species